AUUGAACGCUGGCGGCAGGCCUAACACAUGCAAGUCGAGCGAGCGGCGGACGGGUGAGUAAUGUAUGGGGACUGCCCGCUCGAGGGGGAUAACUACUGGAAACGGUAGCUAAUACCGCAUACUAUCGGAUAACCCAUAUGGGAUUAGCUAGUAGGUGAGGUAAUGGCUCACCUAGGCGACGAUCCCUCGCUGGUCUGAGAGGAUGAUCAGCACAACUGGGACGGAGACACGGCCCAGACUCCAACGGAGGCGUCGGAGGGGAAUAUUGCACAAUGGGGGCAAGCCGGAUGCAGCCAUGCCGCGUGUAUGAAGAGGGCCCUAGGGUUGUAAGGUACUUUCAGUCGGGAGGCGUUAACGAAAGAAAAAGGACCGGCUAACUCCGUGCCAGCAGCCGCGGUAAUAC
rnacentral:rRNA from 1 species